GUGAAGAACGCAGUGAAAUGCGAUAAGUAAUGUGAAUUGCAGAAUUCAGUGAAUCAUCGAAUCUUUGAACGCACAUUGCGCCCGCCAGUAUUCUGGCGGGCAUGCCUGUCCGAGCGUCAUUUCAACCCUCGAACCCCUCCGGGGGGUCGGCGUUGGGGAUCGGCCCUGCCUCUUGGCGGUGGCCGUCUCCGAAAUACAGUGGCGGUCUCGCCGCAGCCUCUCCUGCGCAGUAGUUUGCACACUCGCAUCGGGAGCGCGGCGCGUCCACAGCCGUUAAACACCCAACUUCUGAAAUGUUGACCUCGGAUCAGGUAGGAAUACCCGCUGAACUUAAGCAUAUCAAUAAGCGGAGGA
rnacentral:misc_RNA from 1 species